rnacentral:misc_RNA from 1 species
AAGUCGUAACAAGGUUUCCGUAGGUGAACCUGCGGAAGGAUCAUUAUUGAAAUAAACCUGAUGGGUUGUUGCUGGUUCUCCAGGGAGCAUGUGCACACCUUGUCAUCUUUAUAUCUCCACCUGUGCACUUUUUGUAGACCUGAAAAGGUCUAUGUUGCUUCAUUUUACCCCAAUGUAUGUUAAUAGAAUGUUGUGCCUAUAUAAUAUAUACAACUUUCAGCAACGGAUCUCUUGGCUCUC